UCUUACUGCGCAUGUGCAGAACGGAUCCAGGAAGACAGCAGAAAAACGAAAACAAACGGCGCGAGAAGUGGCGAGAGAGGAAGAGUGGAGUACUGGAGAAGAGAAAAGAAAACACAAAAUGAAAAGAAGCUACCCCAGCGGUGCUGAAAAGAGGAGGAAGAAGGAGGAAACCCGAAAGUUGAUGUCUAAGUUACCGAAAGUACAACAACGACGUCGACACCUGUUGGGGAGGGUCCGUCAUGUAGAAAUGAACUACACCACAACAUAGAGGACAGCAGCUGCUGCUGCCCAAAUUUGAGCUGUGUAAAGAGGGCCCCAUGCCUGCCUUUGCCUUGGGCCCCAAAUUUCCUAAAUCCGCCACUGGUCUGAAGGAGCACCGUCCUGAUGCCGUUCUCCUACCUGUCCCUGUCAAAGUGUG